ACGAACGCUGGCGGCGUGCCUAACCCAUGCAAGUUGAGCGACGAACCAGGGCUUGCCCUGGGGCAAAGCAGCGAACGGGUGAGUAACACGUGGGUAACCUACCCCGAUAACCGGGACAACCCGAGGAAACUCGGGCUAAUACCGGAUGUGCUCACUGGACUUCGGUUCAGUGCGUAAAGGAAGCUUCGGCCUCCGUAUCGGGAGGGGCCCGCGGCCCAUUAGUUUGUUGGUGAGGUAACGGCUCACCAAGACCGCGAUGGGUAGCUGGUCUGAGAGGACGAUCAGCCACACUGGGACUGAGACACGGCCCAGACUCCUACGGGAGGCAGCAGUGGGGAAUCUUGCGCAAUGCGCGAAAGCGUGACGCAGCAACGCCGCGUGGGGGAAGAAGGCCUUCGGGUUGUAAACCCCUUUCAGGAGGGACGAAGGUUCGGCGGUGAAUAGCCGUCCGGACUGACGGUACCUCCACAAGAAGCCCCGGCUAACUACGUG
rnacentral:rRNA from 1 species